GACGAACGCUGGCGGCGUGCUUAACACAUGCGAGUCGAACGGAAAGGCCCUGCUUUUGUGGGGUGCUCGAGUGGCGAACGGGUGAGUAACACGUGAGUAACCUGCCCUUGACUUUGGGAUAACUUCAGGAAACUGGGGCUAAUACCGGAUAGGAGCUCCUGCUGCAUGGUGGGGGUUGGAAAGUUUCGGCGGUUGGGGAUGGACUCGCGGCUUAUCAGCUUGUUGGUGGGGUAGUGGCUUACCAAGGCUUUGACGGGUAGCCGACCUGAGAGGGUGACCGGCCACAUUGGGACUGAGAUACGGCCCAGACUCCUACGGGAGGCAGCAGUGGGGAAUAUUGCACAAUGGGCGGAAGCCUGAUGCAGCAACGCCGCGUGCGGGAUGACGGCCUUCGGGUUGUAAACCGCUUUCGCCUGUGACGAAGCGUGAGUGACGGUAAUGGGUAAAGAAGCACCGGCUAACUACGUG
rnacentral:rRNA from 1 species